UAGUAGACUUGCUUAACUGUUUCACAUAACUUCACUUCACAUAAAGCAUUAAAAUGAAUUUAAUGGCUCUGGCAUGUAAUAUUGUGGUGAUGACUAUCUCCUGGUUGACUAUUCAGACUGCAGCGGUUCCCAUUGUGAAUGUUAACCCGCCACCUUUUAAUCCCGUGGAUGCCCCUCACACUUGGCAGCUUUUCUCAUGAAAUGAAAUGAUAUUAACAAAAUAAAAACUAUUUAUAAGGUAA